rnacentral:lncRNA from 1 species
ACUGGUAGCCGGAGUUGUAAGCAUAGCGGUGACCGGUGUUCUGGGUUUUCAUGACCCUGCGUUUGGCAUCAGUUCUGGUGCCCAAAUACAUGGCACGGUAUUCCUCAUUGGUGAUAUCAGCAAAUUUGUUCAACCCAAGUGUGUAUGUGUUGUUCUGAGCGUUGUGGUCUUGUAUGAAUCCUAGGUUGUCCUUGAACACUUGAAACCUCUUUUCCUUCUCAUCCAACCCAUUGUACACCUUCCGGUGCUUCAUCAACCACUCCUCGUACAUGUCCAUGACCUCGUUUUCGGAGUAAUUGAUGAUGGAGAUGGCGGUGGCAUGUGAGAACGUGAAGGAAAGGAGGAGCAAGGUGGGUAUCAGCAUUGAAGGCAUGGUUGGUGUGAGGAAGAGAAGAGGAGGGUGAAAGGUUGAAUGGUUGUUGAUGAAGAAGAAGAGGGAGUGGUGAGUUUAUAUAGAGGGGAGUACUGUAAGCAAUUGAGUUAGGGAAAUAAAGGAAUGGUAAAGAGAACUGUCACACCACGUGGCUUCUCAGAAUGAAUAAUUGCAAACUCUGUUCCUUUCAUUAUUGGCGUUUUAGUAAAUUCGUUAAUACAUAGUUAUUUUUACGAAACUCAUGUAGUUUAAUUGCUUAUUUUUAUACAUAUACCACUCUUUUUAUUUUUAUUUCUUCCAUCUAACACUUUUACUUUUAUUUUUUCUAAUUAUCAUUAUUUUUUUUUCUAUAUUUCAAAAAUAAAUAAAUAAAUUACAUAACAAUAAAAAAAAACAAAAUCAAUUAAUAUUAAUUAAAUUUAUUUUUAUUUUUUAUCUUUUAUCUUUAUCUUAAUUUUUAUUUUUAUUUUAUAUAUAUAUUUGUUAGUUAUUAUUAUUUUUCUGUCAUUUUUUAUUUAUUUCUGCUUCUAUUUUUAUUUUUAUCGUUAUUGUUUUUAUUUUCUAUAUUUAUUUAUUUUAAAAAAAUCUUACUUUUAAGCAUUAAGUAUAGUAUUUGUAUUAAUUUUUUUUAGAAUUUUGCAUUUAGGUAGACACUUCAAUAUUAUCUGAAUGUCCACUAUUAAUUAAUACUAAUUGAUUUUGAUUUUUUUAUACUUAUGUGUCCUGUAUUUUUUACUUGAAAUUAACAAGAUUACAUCAUCAAUAAUAAUAAAAAUAAAUACUAAUUUAUGUUUAUAGAUUUAACUUUUAUGUUGUUAUAUGGUUUAAUUUUUUAUUUUCUUCAAUCUUAAAAAAAAUUAAACUAAACAUUUUUAAUUUACUACUUUUUUAUUUUUAUUUUGUAAAAACUCAUUUCUUUAUUCAUUAAUUAUAAUUCUAACUAUUUUAAACAUUAAAAAUAUUUAUUUUUUUAAUGCAUUCAAAAUUAAAAUUAUUAAUUUUUUUAAUUUAUUAAAAAAAAUUUACUUUUGAACUGUGUUAGAUAAGAAAAUAAAAACAAAAUGGUGCUAUAUAAGAAAAUAAAAACAAAAUGAAAUAGAUGGAGAAAUAAAAAAUGUAAAUAGUGUUAUAUGAGAGAUUGGGUCAUUUAAUUAAUUGAACAUUAAUAUCAUGGAUUUCAUUUAUUUGACAAACAAUUAUAUUUAUUAAAUACUAGUGUAAAUGAAACAUUUUGUGCUUCUAUAUAUUUUACAAAAAAAAUAUUAAUAAUAAUAUUAUAGAACACUAACUUUUAGUAUUUAGACAGUUUAUUUUUAUUUAUUUUUUAUAAUUUUAAAAUAAAACUAAAAAUAUAAUAAUUUAUCUUCUUUAUGUAUAUUGUUAUAAUUUUUUUAAUUUUAAAAUACAAUUAAGAAUAAAGUAAGAAUUAAAAUGUAUAGACAAAAGGAAGAUUUUUUAUAUAUAUUGUUAUAGAUGUUGUAAUUUUUUAAUUUUGAAAUAUAAUUAAUCGUAUGAAAUGUGUAUAGAAAAUGGGGAAUUUUGAUCUUAUAUUCUUAUAGAUAAAUAUAAGUAAAUUUUAAUUCUUCAAAAUUUAUUUAAUAUUAGUAUUUUAAAAAUAUAUUUAUAUAUAAUUCAAGAACCAUCUUCAAAUAAUAUUACCAAGAAUAAUUUAGAAAAUAUAAGUAUAUAUUAUAUGAAACCAAUAAUGUUAGAUCAACUUAACUAUUGUUCUUAGUAGGCGUAAAUUAGUUAGUUUAGCUCAUGUAUGAAGAAGUAAAUAUUAUUCCAUUUUUUUGUUUUAUUUAGAGUAAAUUGCACUAUAAUUUAAAAAAAAAUUGAUAAAAUAUUAACUUUAUCUCUUAAUAUUUCUAUUUAAUAAAAUAAGAAAAUAUAUUAGUAAAAUGGUAAUAUAUUUUGAGUUUCGUUAGUUUAGUAAUUAGGAUAAUUAGUAUAAAAAAUAGAAUUCUUCUUAAAAUAGUACAUAAAAGCACUUAAGUUAAUAUAUAUAUAUAUAUAUAUAUACACGGUUGAAAAUACAGAAAAGUUUAAGUAUAUUAACUUCGACUAAAUUAACUUUUUACGAAAGUAAACAUUGAUUUUUUUUUAUGUUCUUAAAAUAAUUUAUAUACUUUUUAAUUUAUUUAUUUUUUUAUUAAGAAGAGUUAAAAGUAUUACUCAAAAUAUUAUUUGAUUUGAUCAAUCCUUUUAUGAAAAAAGUAGUUUAAAGCAGACUUGAAAUAUGGAAUCUCAGUUAGAUUACUUCUAGAGUAUAAAACCAUGGGAAGUACUUUUUUAGUAAGAAAAACUCUGUAAGUAACUUUUUUUAAUAUAUAAACAACUUUUUUUUAAUUUUAAAUAAUUUAACACAUAGACACACGUGUAAUUUAUAUUAAAAAUAAUAUUUUUAUUUUUCAGAAAUUCAAUUGAAAAGGUUUACGGGAAAAUGUCCCAAUGGGAUGCCAUUAUAUAUAAGAUUACUUUAAUUCUUUAAAUUAAUACUGUGUGUUAAUAUAUAAAGAUAUUUUGAAUAUCACUACAAAAGUAGCGUUGAUGAUAAUGGUACAUAAAAAGAAACAAAAUUCUUCCUUCUUAAGUGAGUAAAGAAUUUAUCAUAUUUUUUUUCCAUUGUUUAAGUGUGGAAGAUGGUGGCAAUGGCUAUGUUUUUUGCGUUGUUGAAAAUAAACAUUGCCAUGUAUACAGUGCUUCCAGUUUUCUUCCAACAGAAGGAUUCCGUUUACUUUCGAGUUAAUCUACCUACAACCUUUCUUAGCCUUUUCAGUGGGUCUUCCAUCACUACUUUCACUUUACCAAAUUGGAUAAUUCUCAGUUAUAAAUAAUAACUAGUUAAUCAAACAAUAAAUAUUACUGAAGGAAUCAUUUUAAAUUCUCCCAUAGUGCUUUGCUUAUUAAAUUUGAAAAAAAAUUCAAAAUUAGCUAAUAUUUACUUUUAUAUAAAGUAAUAGGAGAAUUUGUUAGAAUGGUAUGUGUGAUAGCAUAGCCUUAGCAGUGAAGGGAAUGAAUCCCUACCUUUUCUUAAUGAAAGGAAGUGAAAUCCUUUUUACCUUUUUACUUUGAGGUCUUAAGUUGUUUAUGGAAAGAGUGGAGAAUGGGAAGAUAAAGAUUGUUGGUUUGAGUUAUGAUAUGCAGAUAAGUUGUUUAUAUUGCAUCACGAGUUUGAAAAAAAGUUGGAAUUCCUGCAUAAUGGGCACAAUUCAUAUCAUGUUGUAUCCACAAGUUGCAAAGGGAUGAGAGUUGGAGUGUGAUUGCAUUUGCAUGUGAUAGUUGCAACUCAGAGGCAUGGAUGAGAAUCAGAGAUAUCAGAGAUAUGCGCAACUUGCAACAACUUGGGAACUCUUUCAAGGGCAUGGCUCCCCUGACUUUGGAAAUUAAAAUAUUCCCUUAUCUUCAAAACAAUUCAAUAAUUUUAUUUGGAACUAUAUUGAUUUUCAAUGCUUGCAAGCUAUGUAGUUAGACAUAUUUUUUGAAAAACUAUUCCUCCGUAUAACUCUUCACCACCAUCUCUUUCACUCAAUAAUUAACUAUAAUCUAUAUAAUUUAUCUAACAUGAACAAUGAUACGAUAUGAACAUGAAUAUAAAGAUGCGUAUAUCUUUUAAAAUAUAAAAUACGGGAAUAUGGAUCUAUAUAUUAUAUAAUUAUAAAUUAUAUUAAUUAACAAUAAAUAUUUAUGUGCACAAGUAUGUUUUAUAUUUUUUUAGACUAGAAAGAUAUUUUUUAUGAUUGAUUCAAAAUAAUUUAUUUUUUAUUUUUAUAAUCAAAAUAAAAAUUUAUACAAUAAAUUUGAGUUUUUAAAAAAUUAAUGUAUUUUUCUUUUUUAAAUUGUGUUAAAACCGUACUAAAAUUAUCGAAAAUCUAAUAAAUAUUUUUUUGAAAUUGAACACUCUCAAUAUGUGUCAUACGAAUGUCGAUGUCCGAUACAUAUGUCCGACACAAACACGCCAUUUAAAAAAAUAUUCGAGAUUCAUAAGCCAUAACUCACUUCAAAAUAAUCUUUAUUUAUUAUCUUUUUAUCAUGAACUCAAAGACUAACUCUGAUCUUAGAUUAGUUUCUUGAGUUAUGUCUAACUUGAACCUUAAUCAACAUAUAUAUAUAUAUAUAGAUAGAUACACACCUUCAAUUUUAACUAUCAAUAACAAUAAUAUUUAAGUUAUCAGCGGCUAUAUUUGGUGGACGGAAAACAGAAAGAGAAAAAACCUAUGUAUUACAAAUAAAACUCAUUUUACUCUAUCUUUUUUUAAUGUAAAAUAAAUCAAAUACGCCUAACCAUACUAACCAUCCAAUGGAAAAUCCUCUUCAGAUAAUCAACUGUAAGAAUUUUGAUCAUUUAAAAUGUUUUUCUAAUAUUAAAGCAAAAUACCUGUCAUCUGAUUGUAUUAUAUAUAUAUAUAUGCAGAUGUUGUUUAAUUUUGAACUACAAGGACAUGGGACGGUUAAAUUAAAAAAUACAGGAUAUGGAACACGGCAUAUGAACAAAUUAAAACAUAUUAUUUAAAACAUACUAAUAUACUUUCUAAUCUGAACAAAUUAAAAAAAAACAUUUAUAAAAAAAUCUAACAAAAAAUAAAUAUAUUUAAAUUAUAAUGUUUUUCAUUUGUUCAUCUUCAUUAAAAAAUACAACUUAUAAUUUUGAUUCAUCAUCAGAUAAAUUAAGAUAAAUUAGCAAUUUCAAAAAUUCUAUUUUUAUUUAAUAAAAAAUCAUCUCCUGCAAUAUCCACAAUUUAGUUUUCUCUUCUUUAUAUUUUGAGGAAUUUCUUGAUAGAAGAUAGAGAUUACUAUGGAUAAUAUUUUAUUACAUUUAUAUCAUCUUAUAAAUAUUUAUCCAAGCUCUUUACUUUCAUUUUUAACAAAAAUUAUCUAACUCUUUGUCGGUGCCUUCACAGUCUUUGUCCCAACUCUUCAUCUUCUUCGUUCUCCUUCACACUUAGAAGUAUCCAUCAUGUGUCCACAAAUUGGGUCGUGUUUGACCCAGCUCAAUGCCUCCAACACAAUGUCGUCCUCGUGUUUAUCAGUAUCCGUGUCCGAUAUACGUCCAACACACAAAAGCGAAAAUCACUCGCCGUGUCGGAGCUUUAUGAAAUAGGGGUGAUAUAAUCGUAAUUUUUAAAUAUUACUCUGUUCUUUUUUUUAUUUAUGUUUUAAGAUAAUGCACCUAUUUGGAAAUUAUUAAUUAAAAAAAUAUUAUCAUAAAUUUAAUUUUUGGAAAAAUUGCCCUCGUUAAGAAGUUAGAACAUAAUUAUGAAUAUAUUUAAAUUUUUAUACGAAAAUUCCCUAUUGUUAAAAGAACAAUUAUGAGUUUUCUUAAAUAAUAAAUAUUUUAAGAGAAACUAAAAGAUCUUGAGAAGGCAUAUAAUUAAGAUGAAGCAAAAGGAAUCAUUGAUGGUAUCCAUGAAUACUUAAUUAUUCAAAUAGCAUCAAAAUGCAAAAUUGUGGCCAGGCCAUUCAUGGAGUAUGCUGCCAACAAACAAGUCCCAAGGAAGAUAGAUUCUAGAUUCGUUUGAAUCUUCAUGUCAUGUGCUAUGUAGCUAAAAUAUAUUCAUAUGUUUUAUAAAAAAGUUUUUAAGUAUAAUUUCAAUAAUCAAAUGAUGAUUUUCAAAUUAGUCAUCUUUACAAUUCAACCGUGAUAUUUUUUUAAAUUAUCACAUUUAAAAAUAAAAAAAUUAUUAAAAUGUGGACUCAUAUAAUUAAUUUGAGAAAUUUUGAAAAAUUAUAAAUUUGUAUUUUAACCUUGAUGUUGACAAAGUAAUAUUUUCUUUUUAUAUAUAUACAAAGUUAAAUUAAAAUAGAACUACCAUUUCUAAAUCACAGUUUAGUAGAUGGUAUUAAUGUGGAAUGAAAUAUUUGAUUUAAAUCAUAUAAAUAUUCGUCAUGAGAUAAACAAACAAGAUAACCUCUUUUCAUUUAUAAUAUAACACUUAUCUAUUUAUUUAAAGAAAAACAAAUUGUUGCACUAUUUGAGCUCUAUAUCGUGUUGAAGUUUGUAGCAUGUGUCCCUAACAGGAAGUAUAUUAAAAAAAAAUUCUUACUAAAAAACAUGUUUAAAAAUAGGAUGUAUAUUAAUCUUUUUCCUUACUAAUAAAACAUGUUAAAAAUGUUUUAGACUAAAAGCUUUAAAAAAUUAUUAUUACUCUGAUAAGAUUCUUCUCCAUACAAGGUGAGAAGUUAUCAAAGGUAACUAAGUAUAUGCAUAUGUAUAUAUGUAGUUUUUUUUCCUUUUAGUUAUGUAUAUGUUGAUUUUCAAAUUCUACGAGGUUACUUUCUCAUCAAGUAUUUUAGCUUGAUCUAAUUUUUUAUAUAUAUAAACAAUAAUUCUGGAAUAUAAUUUAUUAUAAGCAUACAUCAAGAAAUCAGUAUCAUCAUAGUUUUACACCUGCCCAUAAUUAAGGGAUAAAAUAAUAUUAAAAAUAUCGAUUAUAGUUUUUAUUGUGAUGUCCAAAAAUAAUAUUUUUGUAAGUUGAUGAAUAGGAAUAUAUGUUCAAACUGUGUAUACAAAUGAGUAGAUCAAUUUAAAGGAAGAUGAUAUUUAUAUUUUUUUUUUUACUUUUUAUAAGUGUACUAUGAGGUAAAAUUUGAUCGAAUGAGUUGGAAUUUCUAAUUCUAAUAGAUUGAUAUUUUUAUUUUAUAGGUUGAAGACCAAGUUUAUUCCAGAAUAGUCACAUUUUUAUAAGAACCACAGGGACUUAUUAGAGUUCCACUUUUUUGAAACUACCAUAAGUGGAAAAACUGUUUGAAAUAAAUCGUUGAUAAAUUGGAGUUGUGUGUUUGAUAAGGUCAAUCCUAUAAUAAAAUCAUUAAAUAAAAAUUAAUUUAAAAAAUAAAAAUUAUUAAUUAUUAUAUUAAUUAAAUUAUUUAUUAUUUUAAAAAUUAAAUAAUAUAUUUAUCUAAUUUUUAUUAUUAUUUAUAAAUAAUUUUUAAAUUAAUAUCUAAUUAAUUAUUAAAAUUUUAACUAUCAAUUAUUAUUUAAAUUUUAACGACACUGAAAUUACAUUUUAAUUUUAUUGAAAAUGUAUUGUGGAUAAUAUAUCCUUUUUAAUUCAGAAAUAUUUUAAAUUAUAUAAUUUAAUAUAAAUUUUGAAAUAUAUAUUUUUCUAAAAGUACCUAAUAUGAAUGCAUUCUAAAAAUGUAUAAUCUGAGACGUACCAUUUAAAAUAAAAAUUUUGUACAAUUUAUAAUAAAAAAUAAAAUAUUUAUAUUUGAAUUAUACAUUCUAAAAGAAACUAAUGUGAGGAAGUUUCUGAAUUGCAAAGUCUUAAACUGUAAAUCAAAAUGCAAAAGCAGAAGAAUAAAUUUGAAAUAUUUAAAUUUAUAGAGCAGCUUGAAAUCAUGGGAGUACAAGAAGAAAAGGCCUUGCUCACAGUGGACCUUGUCCUUAAAGCCCAUGAAAAAUUUAAAGAAAAUUAGGAUAAUUUUUCCUCCACCUUCCUCACAGAAUGAAAUGACAAUUUUAUCUUCCUCUUCAUCUUCUUCACUAAACACCUAUUUUCUCCUUCUCGUUCGCAACAACUCUCCACCUUCAACCCUAACUUCACCUUCUUCGUUUAAUUAAAAAAAAUUAUUCUAAAUUAUAUAAUCUAAAAUAUAUUUCCUUUACUGCGAAUAGUACAAUUUAAAACAAUUUUUUUAGUAUUUUGAAUUCAAAAUACAUUUUUUUUUAUUUAGAUUAUGCUAUUUAAAAUAUUUAAAAAAAUUGUAUUACACACCGAUGACUAAUUUCGACAUGAAAAAAUUGUUUUAGAGAUUUUACAUUGAAAUAAUAUUAUUUGGUAAUAUAUAUAUAUAUAUAUAUUAUUUUUCAUUUUGCUAAAAGAUAAAGGAUGAUGGUCGUGUUUUCUUCUUCAUACUUAUUCAGAAAUGCGAAAACCAUUGUUUUUAACACCUCUUUUAUUAUUAUUAUAAUACUUUCUUAAUGAAAUUUUUUUAAUAUCACAAAUUUUGGUAAGUCCGAUAUCUUAUUCAAUGAAUAUUUAUGAAGAAUAAAAAAUUAUUAAAAACACUGCUUGUACAAAAUUAUAUAAUAAGUAGCUUAAGUAUUAUCAAAUAUCUCAUUAAUAUUAUUGUUACUAGCAGAAACAUGUUGUAAGAAUGUUUUCGUUUUUUUUUAUUUUUAUCAUUUAUAUAUAAUUAUAUUUUAUAUUAAAAAUUAAAUAAAAAAAUAUCAAUUAAAUCAAAUAAUAAGAAGAAAUAAAAAUUAUAUUUUUUAAGAGAGAUGAAAAUAUAAAAAAAUUGUUUCAUAGUAAAAAAGUUUCACGUUUAAUAAAUUGUUUUAAAUUUCACAUUUAUUGAGAAACUACUCUAUAUUUAAAAUUUAAAAUUGAUAACUGUUUUUUACAAAAUAACAUUAUAUUAGUUUUUGAUGGAGAUCCAACGUCGUAACAAUUUUUUUAAAAAUAACUUUCAAUUAAUUUUAUAAUUAAUUAGUUAUUUAGUAAAAAUUUAAAAAUAAAAAUAAAAAAUGACUGAAAUAUAAAAAAAAAAAACUUCCCUCCUCUUCUCUUUCAAUUUAAAACUGUCUUUUUAAGUAUAUCAAAUGUUUGAAAAAAAUAGAAACUGAACGCAAUGUGAUAAUAAAAUAAAACAAAUAUUAAUAUUAGGAUAAAAUAUAAUUUUUUUAAAAUAAUUAAUAUAUAAAUUUAAUAAAAAAUGGAGAUGUCACAUCGUCGUGUUAUAUAAAGAUUUGUUUCAAAUGAGUAAGCAGUUAUAAACUCAUUCACAAAGAUCGCGCACAAUUGGAUACCCCGGAAGGAGGAAAUUACUCACUGCACCCCACCUCGAAGUUGUAAAAUGACAAAAAUAUUCUUAAAUUAAAGGACUACGACGAAUGAAAAAAUAUUUUGGAUUUUUUUCUUUUGAAAUACGUUUUUAUAUUUGGAUUUUUGGAACACUUCUUUUAUUUCUGAAAUUAUUGUUUCGAAUAAUAUUUUGAAUUUUAUUUUUCAAAAACUUGUUUUUUAAAAUAUAACUUUUGUAUUUUGGAAUUACUUUUUUAUAAUGGGAUUUUGAUUUUUCAAUUAUAUUCUAGAAUUCCGUUUUCAUAACACACAAAUCUAUUCUAAGUUUGUUUUGCCGAGAUGUAUUUUUUGGAUUCUAAAUUUUUAAUUUCAGAAUAAAGGACAAUUUUAAAAAUUUAAAAGAUGAUCCUAUGAAAGUCACAGUUUAUCAGUUGCAGGAAUGAUUUACCUCGGAAAGAUUGAUAGGAUGAGUUUGGAAUGAGAAUGUUAAGAUCACAAAAGAAAAAAAAAAUUAAAAAAGUAGUCUUUGACAACUGCAAGGAAAAAUAUUUCCUCUUCACCAUUGUGACAUGACACAGAGUUCUUAUAUGGUGAAGAUUAAUUUUGUCUUUAUAAAGAAUUAAAAUUUUGAAAUAUGCUAAAAGGAGUAUUAGGAAAGUAUAGAUGAGGUCAAGUUUAAGUUUAAGGGAUUUUUAACGAACUUAGGUGAAAGAGUGUUUGAAUUUUGACUCAAUGAGUGCUUAACUCAUGACUCAAUCGAAAUCAGGAGGAUUAGUGACUCAAUCCGAAUCAGAAAACAAUCUUAUACUGAAGAGAUUGUAAGAAAGGACAAAAGUGCGAGCAUAAAUCUCGUACAUAUACAAAAAAUCAUCUCACAUGUGAAGGAUUAAUCAAGGAAGGAGUGAGAUUAUUACUACUACCACUACAAAAUGGAGAAAGAUAACACAGGAAAAAAAUAAAAAAGAAAGAAAUAAUAAAAAUAAGUUUUGAAUUCAUUUACAUUAAAAUGUCACUCCCAUCUAUUAAAAAAUAAUAAUUAUGCCACAAGUCACUCAAGAAAAUUUUGUCUCAUUAAAAUUAUAUUAAUAUGUAUACAAAUAUAAGAAACAAAGAGUAAGGUAAAAGUCAUGUGCAUAACUAAUCGUACUGAAUUUACUUUAUUUGAUGAAGAUAUAGAAAUAAAGAAAAAUAAUAUAAGAAUGAGUGACAAAAAAUUGUUUGGUUAAAAUAAAAAGGUAUUUAUUGUUAAUUAUUUUAUUUAUUUUAAUUUAUUUUUAAUAUUUUUUUUCAAUUAAUUAUUUUUAUUAUUAUAUAAAAAAAAUUUGCUAUUUGAAUAACAGAAUCGAUGGAAUACUUGUCUUAAUUUUUGUGGGACAAUCAGGUUUAGGGUAACUCAUAUUUUUCGUGAAGGGAAUGCGUGCUGAUAAGUUGGCUAAUUUAGGAUUUAUUCAUAGAGAAUCUUUUCAUUGGUAUAAUAGACUCCCUGCUAGUCUGUUCUUAGAAUUCUUUAUGAAUAGGUAUAAUCUACCUAUGUAUCGUUUGUGUUAACAUAUGGGUUUUGGUCUAGUCCCCCCAUAUUUUUGUAUUUUCUUUUUUUAAUAAUAUUUUUUCAUGUGUGGCAGAUGAUUGUUGUUACUUGAGGUGUCAGCUUAGCUGAGAUGUCAAGUUGCAUAGUGAUGCCUAACACGAAAACUUUAUAAAAAAAACAUAAUCUUUUGUAUUUAUCUUUGAUUGACUUUCUCCAUCUUUUUUUUCUUUUAUCAAUACAAUACCUCUCUUCAUGAACUUUCCUUUAUGGGACCCAAGGUAAGAGAAGUGAAACCAUCUCAAAUACCCAUACAUUGUGUUUGUUUUUAAACGUGAAAAGUGAGAGACCAAAGAAAAAACGACAAAAAUAAAAAUAUAACGAUAUGAGAAAGACACGUUGACUUAUUCUACCAAAAUAAAGAAAAAUCUGGCAAAACAAUACACAAACAAAUAUGAUUAGUUAUAUAAUAAAUAUUAGUAUUAAUAUUAUAUCUGUCAUAAAUAAAUUAUAAAUAUUUAUAUAUUUAAAUUAUAUUAUAAAUAUUUUAUUGAUAUUUCCAUUUUUAUAAUAAUAGUUAAUUGUAAAUAAUAUUAAAAUAGUAAAUAUAAAGUUAUUAAUUAUCAAUAAAUAUGAUUCCUUUUUCCUUUUCUUUUAUUUAAUUUAUUUUAUUCAAUAAAUAUGGGGGACUAGAAAAUAUGUGUAUCUGGAUGAUAUGGCGUAUGAGGAAUUAUGCUAGAUUUCAGGAUAAGAUUGAGGUUUCUAAGACUAUUUCGAUAAUUAAAGAUUUAACUUGUCUAGUGGGAAAUUCGUCUAAAGCUUCAAUGAAGAAUGAUAUGUUGGAUUUCAACGUGAUUAAGUUUUUUGGUAUUAAGACUCGUAGUGGGAAAGUUCUUCGUCCUCUUCCUGUUAGAUGAGAAUUUCCUUCACCAGGAUGAGUUAAAAUUAACACUGAUGGGGCUGCUAGGGAUAUCCCGGUCUUGCUACUUGUUGAGGUAUUUUUCGUGGGAGUAUGGGAGAAUUUAUUGGUGCUUUUUCAGGGUUUCUUGAAGUUCAGACUGUUUUGGUUGCUAAGUUUUAUGAAGUUAUACAUGCUAUGGAGGAAGCUCAAAAGAUGGGACUUACUAAUGUUUGGCUUGAAUGUGAUUUUGUCUUAGUUUGUGUUGCGUUUACUGUUAGGACUAAUGUUCCGUGGAUGCUUCGUAAUCAAUGAAAUACUUGUCUUAAUUUUUGUAAGACAAUCAGGUUUAGGGUUAGUCAUAUUUUUCGUGAGGGAAAUGCAUGUGCUGAUAAGUUGGCUAAUUUAUGGUUCAUUCAUAGAGAAUCAUUUCAUUGGUAUAAUAGACUUCCAUAUAGUUUGUUAUUAGAAUUCUUUAUGAAUAGGUAUAGUAUACCUAUGUAUCGCUUUUGUUAACAUGUGGUUUUGUUAUAGUCCUCCCAUAUUUUUGUAUUUUUUUUUAAUAAUACUUUUAUCAUGUGAUGGCAGAUGAUUGUUGUUACUUGAGGUGUCAGCCUAGCUGAGAUGUCAAGUUGCAUAGUGAUGCCUAACAUGAAAACUUUUAUAAAAAAAAAAUAUAUUUUUUAUUAUUAAUAAAAUUUAUAAGUUAAUUUCUAAAUUAAUAUCUAAUUUACUAUUUUAAAUUAUAAAUUUAGUAACUAAAAUCGGAUAGAUAAAUUUCUAAUUCGUUUUUCAGGAACCUGUUCGUUUCAACUAAUAUAUGUUUCUUGUAAUCUGCGUACAAGGAUAUAAAGUAUUUGAAAAAGUCAAAUACUUUAUGUGUAACAUCAUCUGCAUGCUUAUCCUUUUAAACAAUUUAGGUUAUUGGAAUAAUUUCUACAAUGCCUAAAAUAACGUAUAUCCUUCAAUUCUUCAUAACAUGUAUAGUAUUGUGAAGUCUAUUAAUUCAUAGCAUAGAUAAAAAUUAUAGACUUUUUACGUGGCAAAUUGAUGUCUUAAACAUAAUUUUUUUUCUAGUUCAUAAAACAAUACGUGAACAUGAUUUACCUCGUCCAGUUCGAUUUGUGUUUAAUGAUUUUGUUUAUUCCUGUGAAAAGAGUUUAAAUAUUGAGGGUUCUUUUCAGUUAUUGUGAUUGAGAUUUUUAUACAAUUAUCUAAAUAAUAAAAAAUUGAUACAGUGAUGUUCUUACUAGAAAAAAUUAUAAUAUAUUAUUGCAUUAAAAAUACACUUAAAAAAUAAUUUUAAAAAGGAGAUUGACAACAAAUAAAAACCAUGGAUAAAAUUUAUAUUAUAUUUUUUUUAAUUUUAUCAAUACGGUUUAAAUUAAACAAUGGCACGUAAAUUUUUAAAAAUAAAAUUUUGUAAUAUUUUAAUAAAUUAAACUUAAAUAUGUUGUUUGUUUAUUACUAUAACACGUAAAAUUGAUUUUUAUCUAGUCCAAAUUUUAAAUCUUCUAGAUAUUUAUAGUAACAAAAUUAUUGAAAUGAAUUAUUGUUAAUUAAUUAUCUUACCAUAUGAAAUAUCAAAACAUUCACCUUAACAAUAAGUUAAUAUAAAAUGUUUUAAUAUCCUAAUCUAUAUUUAAAAUUGAAUUAAUUUGUUAUGUCAAAAAAGAGAACUGUUAAAAAUACAUUUCAAAAAUUUCUGUAUUAUAAGUAUUUAUAUAUCUAAAGUUUAAAUUAAAGAUAAAUAUUAAUUUCACAUAAAAAUAAAGAAAAGAAAAACAUAUAUUUGAUGAUAAUAAAAAACUAAUUCAAAAUUAAAAUAGAAUAAAAAUCAACUUGACAUUUAUUUGGUUAUGUCAUUUUAUGAAUAUAUUAUAUAUGUGUAUUUAUUUUGACUUGACUCGUUGAACUUUUUUUUAUACAAUUAUCAAAUUUAUACUUUUCAAUCUACGCGUUUCUGUUUUUGUUUUUUAUUUAGAAUUUAAACAUUGUACAGUACAGUAGCAAAUAUUUAAUUUCAAUGUGACAAUAAAAUUUAUUUAAUAUAUUAAAUUGUCUAACAUAUUAUAUAUACAGAGCAAUGAUUAGAUAAUAAUAUAAAAGUUAUAUAUACGCGCAAAAGAUUUAUUAAAAUAAUAAAAAAAGGUAAAUAUGGUGAAAAUACUUUAAAACUUCAUUUUACUAAUACAGUAAGACGGAUUAUUAACGAAAAACUUGUUGUACUAUAUCGUAUUUAGAUCCUGAUUAACUAUUCCGACGAAUAUAUUUUAGUACCAUAAGUAUAAAUUAAGAAUAAGAUUAACAGAAAAAUUGUAUUUGAUAACAAAUUAAUACAUAAAUUAAUUAUAAAAAUCGUACUAAUCUAAACUCAAAAGUUUAAGAGUCUGACUUAUCUUUAUAAACAGGUUGAUUAAUACUAUAUCAAAAUAUAUAUUUAAUAACAUUUUUCAACUAUUCUAUUCCAAGUUCUAACUUGAACGUAGAAAAACUUCUUACAAAUACUCUUCACCUUUAAUAGAAAUCCGACAAUCAAAUGAAAACAACAGUAGAUACCUAGAAGACUAAAAAAUAUCCGUUAUCAAUAAAAUGAAACCUUCCCAAUCAAAACAAACAAGAACAUAUAUCAUAAAGAUUUUCUUGGUUGGAGCAUUUAUAAAAUGUUUUAUCACCAUAUUUUUUAAUUAACAAGUUUUUCUUUGUGAUAUUUAAUUAACACAGUUAAACCUUCGUUAAUAAGAUGUUAACAAAAAAUACGUUCUUAAAUAAGACACGCUGGAAAACAUUCCUGAAAGCACCUGAUUUCCACUGUUUACAUAUCGAAAGGAUAAAUAUUAGUAUGAGAGAAUAGAUAAGAGGAAAUUGUAGUAUGAAAGCAAAGAGAAAG